UCCGGUUUGAAACCGGCGGUCCCGCUAGACCCGGUAGCAACUGGGAGCGGGGGUUGCGCUCGUUGCGGGACUUAACCCAACAUCUCACGACACGAGCUGACGACAGCCAUGCAGCACCUGUCGAGGGACUCCGAAGAGGGGUCCUGGUUUCUCAGGACUUUCCCCUCGAUGUCAAGCCCAGGUAAGGUUCUUCGCGUUGCGUCGAAUUAAACCACAUGCUCCACCGCUUGUGCGGGCCCCCGUCAAUUCCUUUGAGUUUCAGCCUUGCGGCCGUACUCCCCAGGCGGGGCACUUAAUGCGUUAGCGCCGGCACCCAGGGGGUCGCUCCCCCAGGCACCUAGUGCCCAUCGUUUACGGCGUGGACUAC
rnacentral:misc_RNA from 1 species